rnacentral:tRNA from 1 species
AGAGUGGCUCAAUGGUAGAGCACCGGCCUUGUAAUCCGGCGGUUAUGGGUUCGAUUCCCAUCUCU